rnacentral:siRNA from 1 species
UGCUUUGGCCUCUCUUCAGCUA